UUACUAUUUGUUUCUCAAAGAAUGUAACGUUUUGCAAUCUUGAAGGGAAAUGCAUAAAAAUAAUAUUUAAGAAUCAUCUGAAUUUAAUGGACAUAGUGUACAAGGUUUAUGGAAAAUCCAAAUGUGAGAAUAUUAAAACCAAAAGGAAGGUAUCAGAAGCAAAGAUGAUAACGUCAGGAAAUCCACUCGUGGUAUCUGUACCAGAGAGCCAAACAGACCUGUAUUCUGAGACUUUAACAAGUGAUCCUAAAUGCACCACAGAUCAUAAUGACUGGAGCAAAAGUCUUUGGUCUCAAGUACAAACAAAAACUACAACCACAU